rnacentral:rRNA from 1 species
AUUGAACGCUGGCGGCAGGCCUAACACAUGCAAGUCGAACGGUAGCACAGAGAGCUUGCUCUCGGGUGACGAGUGGCGGACGGGUGAGUAAUGUCUGGGAAACUGCCCGAUGGAGGGGGAUAACUACUGGAAACGGUAGCUAAUACCGCAUAACGUCGCAAGACCAAAGUGGGGGACCUUCGGGCCUCACACCAUCGGAUGUGCCCAGAUGGGAUUAGCUAGUAGGUGGGGUAAUGGCUCACCUAGGCGACGAUCCCUAGCUGGUCUGAGAGGAUGACCAGCCACACUGGAACUGAGACACGGUCCAGACUCCUACGGGAGUCAGCAGUGGGGAAUAUUGCACAAUGGGCGCAAGCCUGAUGCAGCCAUGCCGCGUGUAUGAAGAAGGCCUUCGGGUUGUAAAGUACUUUCAGCGGGGAGGAAGGCGGUGAAGUUAAUAACUUCACCGAUUGACGUUACCCGCAGAAGAAGCACCGGCUAACUUCGUGCCAGCCGCCGCCGUAA